GUAAAUAGAAGUACCUGUCUUCAGUGUCAACACCAUUAGCACCUACAACAAAGGUUAAAUAUACACUUACAUACAGAAGACAAGCUCUGUUGUGCCUUUAAGUUGUUUUAUUAUCAUCAUCAUCAUCAUCAUCAUCAAUCAUCAUAUUUUCUUCACUAGAUAAAAUAGGACAAGGUCAGCAAAGAGAGAAAACUCAGAAAUACACUGGAUAGUUUAAAAAAAAUCACUUUUUAUUUGAAAAAAAAAAAACCCAACAUAUUGGAAAAUCUAUUCUUUAUAUAUUUGCAGGUACAGCCUGGAUAAAGGAACAGGGAGUUUUGCCUGUUGCUGCACACUUGGUUUCUGUUGACAAAUGCACUGUUGAAGUAAUAGAAGCAAUCAAGGGUUCGGAAAUCACGCUAUGAAAUGUGGCUCUUGAAGAAAAGGCAGGUCAAAGGGCACUUGAAAGGGGACCUGAUUUUGUAGCAUCAUUUCCAUUUAUUCUUUUUCCACAUGGAAACUUAUGAUUUUACUUCAGUUAAACAAUUUUCUAGUCCUGGGAACCUGUGAAUGCUACUUUUUAUUAACAAGAGGAUGCUUGCAGAUGUGAUUAGAGUUUUGAGUAAAGGAUCUUUUCUGGAUAUUCUGGUGUAUCUAGGCAAGUUGUGGGGAUUUUAAAAAGUGAACAGUCUUCCCUUUUGGAUGGGAUUGGGAGACUAGAGCAAGCCAUGUGAAGAGCACACAGCAGUAACUUCUCUGUUGUAGACCUGGAAGGUGGGAGAGAUGGGCCAGCAACCAAGGAAUAUUGGAGUCUUUUAAAUAGGAAAACAGAAGUUGGAGCUAUGAGCUAAUAUGAGAUGUGACAAUAGUCACAGGAGAUUGGAGUGUUUUCAGAGAGAGAAAAUAGGCCAAAGAAUACAGUCAAUACAAGACACUAAAAAACUAGAGCAUUUUUUCCUCUAGAGUCUCUGGAGAAAGCACCCAACCUUAGUUUAGGGAACAAGCGUUUUCUAUAUUUGAUCCCUAGAAAUGUAAGACAAGUCACAUUUGUGAUCGCUGUCUAUAGUAGCAAUGGAGGAUGAAUAUGUCACAUUCAUUGCAGAUGAAUUAAGAAAUUCAGAUUAUCUUUGAGAUAAAUCACACUACCUAGUUAAAUACAGCUAGCAUUUUGACUAAUAUCUUACAAACUUUUUUUCUGUUAAAAAUCAUGGCAGAACAUACUCUGCUUGUGUGUGUGUAUGUGUGUCCUUUUGUUUAUUUAUUUGAUGCAUUGCUUUAGGUAAAAAGUGUUCAGCAUUCUUUGGGUACUUUAAAUGCAAGGAGACUUCAUGACUUUAUUUGGGUUUUAGAAUUUGCUGUUUGAGUUGCUAUGGGUUUAAACUUCAUUUAUCAUUUAAUAAUAUAUGCCUUUAUUAAUUCUUUGAGAAACUUGAAUGUUGCUUUUUGAUUAUAUUCAUUCACUCCUUCUCUACACACCCAAUACUCCACCAAUCCCUACGUAUCCAACCUUGUGUCAUUACGUUUUUAACCAUUGAGUCUCAUUACUUUUACCCACAUACUCUUAGGUUUGUGACCAUCCACUGGAGUGUAUUAAACCUAGUAGAUGUUAAAGUCUUUUUUUUUUUUUUAUUGUUCAUCAUAAAAUACAUGUUGGCUGCAGCCUCCAUGACUCCCAGUUCCUCCCUCAUGUCUCCUCUCCCCUGAUCCACCGCUCCUUAGUUUCCCUUUAUGAAAAGAGCAAGUCUUCCAGGGAUAUCAACUGAAUAUGCCAUAACAAUAUGCAACAAGAUGAGACAGAAACCCUCAUAUCAAGGCUGGAUGAGGAAACAAGGAGGAGAGAAAGGGUCCCAAGAAGAGGCGGAAGAGUCAGAGACACCGUGCUCCUCCAACUCCCACUGUUAGGAAUCUUACAAGAAGUCCAAGAUAAACAACCACAGCAUGUAUGCAGAGGACCUACCACAGACCUGUGCAGGCUCUGUGAUAAAUGUCACAAUCUUAAAGAAAACAAAAUCUCUGUCUCCUCACAGCUACUGGUUACCUUUUCAGCUAGGCUUGGGACUUUUUGCCCACAUAUCCCCCCUUGCUUGAACUUGCUGAUUUCUUGUCAUGCUGUCGCAAUGUCUUGUGAGUUCAACUGCCUUAUUCUGACCUGAAAACAUUUUUUUUUUCCUUUUAGCAUUCUAUCGCCCUUAGUUCUUCCAGUCUUUCUACCCUCUCUCCUGCAAUGAUCACUAAACCUUGGGAGAAGGAGAUGUGAUAUUGUCUUAGUUAGGGUUUCCAUUGCUGUAGAGAGACCCCAUGACCAAGGCAACUCUUAUAAUGGAGAACAUUUAAUUGGGGGUGGCUUUAGGUUCUGAGGUUCUGUCCAUUGUCAUCAUGGCAGGAAGCAUGGCAGCAUCCAGGCAGACAUGGUGUUGGAGGAGAUGAUAGUUCUAAAUCUUGUUCUGAAGGCCAACAGAAGACUAGCUUCCAGGCAGCUAGGAAAAGUGUCUCAAAGCUCACUCCCAUAGUGACACACUUCCUCCAAUAUGGGUAUACCUCCUAAUAGUGCCAUACCCCGAGGCAAGCAUAUUCAAGCCACCAAAGAUCUAGAUAUCCUAUUUACAGUAGAACAGUUUGAAGUUUCUUAGUCUCUGCACCUAGACCAAUUGUUGCUUCAUCUACUGCAUGGCUAAGCUUUUCUAAUGAGAAUUAAGAGAUGUACUAAUGUAUGGGUAUGGCAAGAAAUAUUUAGAAGUCAGCUUAAUGCUAGCUACACUCCAUUGACAGCAUAAUAGUAGUAAGCCUUAAAUCCCACCAGAGGAUUGUUGGUUAUUUGCGUGUCCUUGUGCCACUGUUACACUGGUGAGCAUCUCCUGAGAGGCAAGUCAUCAGUGAGGCUUGCUGGAUUUACAACUGCGUACGAUUGGUUACCUUUUUCUCCCAGUCAUACCCACUACCUUCCUAGUACUGUGACAGCUGGGCAGUGGGAUGAAGCUUUUAGAUCAGCAGCAGCUUGAUGUCUGCAUAUUCUAUGACUUAAAUGUAUGAUUUCUUCAAGAUCAUUAUCUGACUAAUAGCCUUUAUAUGUAUGUGGUAAUACAUUGUUCUACACACACAUAUAUCAUUAAUCAACUUCUUUUGUUACUAUCUGUAUGUAUCCUUGGGGUUAAUUUGGGUAAUUUGGGUUUUAUAUCAGUAUAAAGGUUCUUUGCACUUUUUUGUUUUAAACAUGAGGGCAUUUCCUUUAUCUUUGUCUUUUGUGUAUAAAUACAGGGCUACAGGUAAGAGGAACAUGCAUUUAAGAGCCAAGUUUGUUUUUUUUUGUUGUUGUUGUUGAGUGGAUAACAUAUAAAAAAUUCUCCAGCAAAUUCACAUUCACAGUGGGUAAUUGUUAUGAUCUUGAAUGUCGUGUGGCUUCAGGAGGACUACACCAGGCCAAACAGUUCCACAUGAGGUUUACUGGGAGAGCAAGGGGCAAGGUGGCUGAGGAAAGAGAAGCGGGGGAGGGGAGAGAGAGAGAGAGAGAGAGAGAGAGAGAGAGAGAGAGAGAGAGAGAGAGAGAUCGAGAUCGAGAUCAGGGUGGCCUUUCUUUCUACAUGGGUGAUGAUGUAACACAGGUAAAGGUGGGAGGUAAGCUAAGUGGAUUCUGGGAAUGUGGUGGCUGUUUCCUUGACUACAGGUCUGUGGGUCCUGCCUAUGUGAUGUCACAAGUUUCAGAGGUCCUGAUACUAAUAAUAAUAACAAACGUUAAAAAUGCAGUAUUUCACUCUUCGAUUUUUAAAUGAGUACAGACCUGAUUCACUUUCUAUAAUAAUUCCCAUUGAUUAUUUUAACAGUUUGCCAAGCAUACAUACAAAUGUUUCAGACAUUCUAGAACAAUAAUUGCUUAAAAUAUGGGUUCAUUCAAUUUUAUUCAUACCCAUUUCACCAUAAUAUUUUUUUUCUUAUUCUUAGGUUUUCAGAGGUAUAAGUAUAAAUGUUGUCUUUGACAUGUUCAUUUUUUUUUGUUUUUUUUUUUUGUUUGUUUUUGUUUUUUGCUUGGGAACAAUUACUUGACUUAUUAAGUAGAGCUUGGGUAUCUUUGAGAGGCUGAAGUGUUUUGAUUUCGAAAACUUUGAUUUAUAGUCAGAGGUUCAUGGUCUCUAUUGAAUGGUUCCACUCAUUCAUUAGGAGUGAUUGACUAUGGAAGACGAAGAGUCUUUGCGAGCUUAGAUGCUUGUUUCAAAAGGCAGUAGAGUUAUUUCCCACAUUGCUUUCUAAAUAUGCCUCUGGAACCAGAACUGUGUAUGGUCAGUGUGCACAUCUGUAAAUUGAAAUUUGAUAUAUUGAGGCUGAGAAGUUCUCAUUUCUACCUUGGAUCCCUGGUUAUUGUUUCAAGAACUAUUUAGUGAAGAGCUUUGAUAGUGGUUUAGGGAGAUGAGAGGCAUUGGGGGAAAUGGUGGUCUAUUUCUGCAGGUAAUAAACAACAAACUCUAGGGUGUUAGUCUCUUUUGAGGAAUUGCAAUGUUUGCCUUUAACUGUCCCUGAGUUUAAAGCCAGGAGUACAAGGUGUUCCUUUUGGAGCAGUUUAUGGAAGGGCCUGAAUAAAUAUUUGUUGAAUUGAAUGAGUCUUUGCACCAGUAAUCCUUUAUGGUUGUUAGUGGAGCCCUAGUUAAGAUACUAUAAAGACACUUAGGUGUCAAAUCUCAGCCUAAUUUUAAACAGUGAAAAAACCUUACACAUGAAGUAUAGGGGCAGGAGAGUCCGGUUUAUAGAGGAAAGGAUUUGUUUUGGAUAAAAAACCUCAAAUAAUAAGAAAGACAAGCAAUGUUUUACAUGCCUGCUUAUUGGGAUUUGUUUCCUAGUCAGUCACCUGUGAAUCUGAGACUUUCAGUGGGCUGUAGGAAGACAUGGAAGAGUGGUCGCCACGGAGGAGCGUUUUACAUACUCAAUAGGCAAAAAGUUGGCAGCUUUGGUUGGGUCAGUUGGAUUAGUCUAAAAAUAGUUAACUUUUCCUAUCAAUUCUUAAACUUUAGUUACUUUAAUAUAUAUUUUUACAUACUUGGUAAGUUUAAUAAUUAUUUAAAAAUCAUUUUAUUUAAUAAAAUUAUUUCAAGAUUAUUUAAAAUCAAUUAUUUAACAUUUAUUUAAGUCUAUACUUUCAAGCCUUUCUGAUGAUAUUGAGGAUGAUGCAUGCUAUAGACGGACAUGAAUUCCUUUCUGUCUGGAUGUGUGUGUCACAGGUCUAAGAUACUUUGACGAUUUUUCUAGUUCUUUGUUUUCAUUGACUUUAGCUCUUGACAGCACAGAUUUUCACCUCACAUGCUUUAGAUUUUAUGCUUUGCUGUCUUCCUGUCCCUGGUUUACUUUGUCACACAGCUGGAAGCCUCUUGGGCAUUCUUAAGUCCACAGGGGCUGACCUUCUCCAGAGUUAUCACCCAUGCUGCUAGGUGGAUAUGGUUUCUUAGUCUCUGGAAUCCUGUUGCUUGUUAAUAUAAUAUGCAGUUCUUGAUGAAGACUGGUGUCUCUCAAGUGCAAACACUGUGCUGGGGUGCACAGCUGCAUGCUGCCAACUUGAAGGGAAAGCAUCCUCUAGAGGUCUCCUUGGGAGGGCGUGUCUAGCCCUUAACGCUUUAGCAGGGCUGUAUUGUUGCUCAAGAAGGCCUCAUGGGCAGAGGAAAGCUUGGUUGCAGCCCUACUUCCAGAUUAUUCUAGAACUCACUUGCUUUUCCUCAGUCCAAGAUGUUCACUUCUCUUUCCUGGCAAUAGUAUUUUAAGAAGUAAAAAAUGUU
rnacentral:lncRNA from 1 species